rnacentral:snRNA from 1 species
UGUGGUUGAGGGUAGUACAACAAAUAAUCCCCUCGCCUUUUACUAGGGGAUUCCUUGGACUGCCCUCACCUUGCUGCCACAUACCGAAUUUCUCAGACACCCCGAACCUUGUGUU